CCGGCGCCGUCCGCCCCGAGAAGGCCCCCCCACGCUCCGAGCACAGCCCCUCCCGGAGAACGUCACUCCGGAGGACGCCCGCCCCCUUCCUCGCUGGGAUUGCCCCUAGGGUGUCCCCCCAGGAACCCCCCUACACGAUAUCCCUUCCCUUUGGGAGAAGACGCCUCCCCCAGGAUGCCCUCUGGAGUAUACCGGCUCUACAGGUAUGUCCCUGGAGGAUGCUCAUCCCAGAGAAUCACCCCAGAAUGCCCCUGAGGACAACCUCCCCCCAGAGGAAGACGCCUACCUGCUGGAAACCCCCUCCUCCAGAAUAUCCCUCUUCCCAGAGGAUGUUCUCCUGGAGGAAGUCUACCCACCCCCUGGAGGAUGCCCACAGGAGGAUGUCCCUCCACAGGGCUGACCCCAGGAGCAUAACCCCUGGGAGCUGUCCUCCCCAGAAGGGAGGCCCCCCCAGGAUGCGCCCACGCGGGAUGCCCUCCAGGUGUAGGCUGGGGCUGUGGUCUCAUGAGAGGCUCCUCUGGAGAGCAGUCUGCUUCCACGGUCCCCCAGACUGUGGGCAGAAGUCAUUCUCGGGCGGUGGGACACGGAUCCUCGUGUCCCUUCACAGACGGUUCACAACUGGGCAGUUUGCUUCCAUAAGGCCAGCAGGAGGGUCUCUUUCCAGUGUGCCGGGAGUCGUCUGCACCGUCACCGUGGGCCUGGCCUCUGCCCCUUUGCCACAUCCUAUCAGCGGUAAGUGACCUCCCACAGAUUCCCUUAAUCUGUGCCCUCACAUCUGCUGGUGGCCGCAGGAGUUCCAGCAAAGUUGGAGACCCGCCCCUCAACAUGCAACUUGGGAGUGGCCCGCCCAGGUAGUAUUUGGACUCUGUGACCACUGUGCACCUUCAGUGUUUCACAGCAUUUUCGCUAAAACCAAAGUCUGGCCUUCUGACGGAUCUAGCCAGGAGGGUAACUCCCGGGGUCGACGGGGUAGAGGGUGAAGGCCAAACCCAGCCCCCUGGGGUCGCUGACCUCUCCCAGCCCCGCCAGCGGCCCCUGGGCCUCAGGGCUGCCUGUGACAGCUGAGAGGGAGCACAACCUUCCGGCCUUGGCUGUGGGCACAGCUGAGGGCCCUUCUUGAUGCGGGCCGUCCUCAUCCAUUCUCCGGGUACAGUCUCACCUGGCUGGAGCCUGUGUACACACGACCUCACUCUCUAAGAGGACGGAGGUGCCCCCCCCCCCGGAACGGACAUCUGGGCAUUUCUGUAAAAGGUGGCCCCGCGAGGCCCCGGCCAGGACACCGGGCAGAUGACACCGGGAGGCCCUGACGCAGGUGUCCGCGUGUCCGGGGCGGAAUGCAGGGGUUUGGCUGCUCUGAGGGGCACUGCGGUGGGGAGGCUGUGCCUCUCCACGGGCCGAGCGGCAAGCCUCCCCGCCGCUGCCUCCCACCAGGGCGGGGGGCGACGGACCCUCCCAGACGCUGCCCGACUUCCGCUCGACAAGGAAGAGUCACCCCGAACCGCACCUCCGGCUGCUUUUGUGCAGUUUGCCUGGGGCUCCGCAGGGCGCGUUAACCCGGGAGCCCAGAUUUCUGCUGCAGAAGAAGUCUUGUGCUGUUUCCUCCCCUCUGCAGCCUGGGGAUGCCCGCUGUGGGCUCAGGGCUCUGGACAGCUGGCCGCCCAGGCUGGGGAGGGGCUGAG